CAGAUUAAAAUCCCAAAUUGAAGGGGGGAACGUAGGGAAAUAUAUAUUUUUUCCCAGUCCUGCAUUUAAUGCUACGUGUGGAUGAUGUCUUAUUUAAAACCUCUGAGCACUUCUGUUAAAGAACAACAUCACGCCCCCUUAAGUGCGCAGUUGCUGAAGGAUGUCAUUGCAACCUAGUAGGCGAGCCGAUGCCUAUGUCUGCGUACAGCCGACUUCAGCAUUUAAUAUUGACGAUUAAACGAAUAUAUUGAUGUUUAAAGCUUCCAGAAACGCGAGAGGCAUCCUUUCAGAUCUAAAGCAGUAAAGCCUCACGCACUUUCAGAAGUUGCGCUGUUAUUUCAGUACCAUCGUCAUCAUCAUUACACAAUAUAAAGCGGAACAGGCGUUUCGGCGUUAUGAAGCAAAACUUCGCAGAAACGAGGAGCCGGCUCGAUGCCUUUCAUAAACAUCACCUGAUUGUCAACGUGACUGGACGGAUUGAGAGGCAGAGAGAGAGAGAGAGAGAGAGAGAGAGAGAGAGAGAGAGGAAGACUGACAAAGAGGAGAGAGAGAUGGCGCUGUAUUGGUGGUCCAAUUGGUGCUUUCUGGGUCACAGGCGAUUGGAGCAUUGGAGGGAUGCUUGUAUGUCUUUGAAUGCAGUAUGACCAGUUAAAGAGGCUGUCAGGGUGAACGAGCACUGCCUAGGGCACAUUAUCCAACUUAAGAGCUGCAGAGAAAUGUUCGACUCCUGGUUUUCUUAUUGGACAUGGUAAGUAUAUAAUAUCUCAUCAUGCAUCAUGUCAUAUCAUAUAAUUUCAUAUUAUGUAUCAUAUAUCAUAUCAUAUCUCAUCAUGUCAUACCCUUUAAGGGAAAAAAAAAGUGAAAAAUGUCUGAAGAUUUCUGGGCUAAUUUGUAUUCUCUUGUUCAGAAAAAAAAUCUUUUAAAGUGGUUUAAGCAUAAUUCUUUAUUUAUUUUUUUUAGUGGCAUUAAAUGCAAUUGCAGAAGUAAUCAUUAUUUCAAACAAGCUUCUGAAAGGCUUCCUCCAUCAGCCAUAUUCUGAUAAACAGGUAGUCCUGUUCCAAACUCAUGCCACUAGUUGUGGUUUACAGUGAGCCAUCUCAAGGUUUUCUAACCGAGUAACCUCAGUGGACCACAGUCACAUUGUUAUUUGCCAUUUUCAGAGCCCAGUGCUGCUAUAGAGACAGGUGUGAUUUCUCAGGACAGCCAUUUUAGUAAUAUGUAGCUGUACAAAAAAAAUCUGAAUUGCUUACAGGACCUUUAAUAAGGUUUGCCGGCUGCUAGUGCUGUGCUAUUUUGAAUAGUGUAUUUUAUACAAGAUGAUAUUUUCUGUCCAAUUAAACUGACAAAUCAGAACACCAAAGCUAGUGCCAGUUAACAGAAGACAGUUAACUGUCACUUUGUGUGGAAAUCAUGGCUACAUUUCUCUCCUCUUAUCCAUGCUGAGUGACUUAGGCCAUUAAAUCAGGCACCUCCUGUGGAUUCCAGGGUGUAAGAAACUGAUAAUAAGGUGUAAUAAUACACCGUCAGUCAAAUGUGCAUGAGAUUCUUAGCAUUCAGAUGAGACCUUAUGCAAGCCGCUAGAGGAAAGUAAGAAUGACAGUAGUGCACAGCAUUUUGCUACAGGCCGGAUACAAGGAAAUAAAAUACAUGCCUCCAGCACAAACAGUCAACAACAUAUUUCUUAGUCUGAAUAUAGCUACUAACCCUAAGGUUUUAAAAGUACAGGUGACCUAAAAUGAAUAAUCUGUCAUCAUUUUUUCAUUCUCAUGUUGUUUCAAAUUCAUAACUUUCUUCUGUGGAACAGAAAGAUGAUGUUUUGAAAAAUGUUUCUAUCCAUAUAGACAAUAGGGUCUAAUGGAGUUGUUUUGGUUUCAAUGCAUGGACAAAAAUGUCUUUUGUGUUCCACAAGUCAUCCUUGAUUGACUCAAAUAUGCUGCCAGUUACUUAUAUGAUGGAUCAGUUUUAAAACUAAAACUAGUUUUUUUCCAAUUCAAAUAAAGCUGAUUUAAAAUAGAUUUAUAUAAAAUAUUAAAUGGAAAAACAAUAACGUAAAACAAAUCAGAAACGAUUCCUUUGGUUUCCUUUAUUCCUUUGGAAUAAAGCUGAAAUUCCUUUGGAAUAAAGCUGAAAUUCAAACGUUAAAGUACUACAAUUCCUAAAAUUGAAAUAAAUUCAAGCUAAAUAAAUUAAAUGGCUAAAAUGACAAAAGCACAUAUAAUGCUAUUUAUACAGCUAACUGUAAAAAGUUUAAGAUGAGGUACUAAAAUGACUUAAACUGGAAAAAAAAUCUAUAUAGAAAUAUGAAAAACAAGCGAAUAAAAAUGACAA